GAUCCUGGCUCAGAUUAAACGCUGGCGGCAUGCCUUACACAUGCAAGUCGAACGGCAGCACGGGGGCAACCCUGGUGGCGAGUGGCGGACGGGUGAGUAAUACAUCGGAACGUGCCCUGGAGUGGGGGAUAACGCAGCGAAAGCUACGCUAAUACCGCAUAUUCUGUGAGCAGGAAAGCAGGGGAUCGCAAGACCUUGCGCUUUGGGAGCGGCCGAUGUCGGAUUAGCUAGUUGGUGGGGUAAAGGCCUACCAAGGCGACGAUCCGUAGCGGGUCUGAGAGGAUGAUCCGCCACACUGGGACUGAGACACGGCCCAGACUCCUACGGGAGGCAGCAGUGGGGAAUUUUGGACAAUGGGCGGAAGCCUGAUCCAGCCAUGCCGCGUGAGUGAAGAAGGCCUUCGGGUUGUAAAGCUCUUUCGGCGGGGAAGAAAUUGCUUGGGUUAAUACCCUGAGUAGAUGACGGUACCCGAAUAAGAAGCACCGGCUAACUACGUG
rnacentral:rRNA from 1 species